rnacentral:miRNA from 1 species
UGGCCCCAGGAGAGGAUGGA